AAUUCACUGUUUGCAUUCAUACUUUUUUUACUAAUUUAUAUUGGAUAUUCACCAAGAGGUCAGAUAAGGCAUGCGCAUGUUUACAAAAUUAAGAUAUCAGUAUCAAAAUUUCUGUUACUUACACGUUUGCCUAAGUAACUUUUUAAAACAGAAAUUACGUAUACAUUAUAUAUUUUAUGACCGAAAGUUUUUUUUGGAAAAGAUCAAAAUUGUAGAUUUCAAAAACACUGGAACUAGAUAUCAGAAAAACAUAAUGGGCAAUUAGACU
rnacentral:lncRNA from 1 species